AUUGAACGCUGGCGGCAGGCCUAACACAUGCAAGUCGAACGAGUGGCGAACGGGUGAGUAACACGUGGGUGACCUGCACUGCACUUCGGGAUAAGCCUGGGAAACUGGGUCUAAUACCGGAUAGUGUGUGAUGGGCCCGCGGCCUAUCAGCUUGUUGGUGUGGUAAUGGGUACCAAGGCGCGACGGGUAGCCGGCCUGAGAGGGUGGCCGGCCACUGUGGGACUGAGACACGGCCCAGACGCCUACGGGAGGCAGCGGUAGGGAAUAUUGCACAAUGGGCGCAAGCCUGAUGCAGCCAUGCCGCGUGUAUGAAGAAGGCCUUAGGGUUGUAAAGUACUUUCAGCGGGGAGGCUUUACCCGCAGAAGAAGCACCGUCUAACUCCGUGCCAGCAGCCGCGGUAAUUC
rnacentral:rRNA from 1 species